CACGUAGUUAGCCGGUGCUUAUUCUUCAGGUACCGUCAUGAGUCCCAGGUAUUAGCCAGAACCUUUUCUUCCCUGACAAAAACGGUUUACAACCCGAAGGCCUUCUUCCCGCACGCGGCAUGGCUGGAUCAGGCUUGCGCCCAUUGUCCAAAAUUCCCCACUGCUGCCUCCCGUAGGAGUCUGGGCCGUGUCUCAGUCCCAGUGUGGCUGGUCGUCCUCUCAGACCAGCUACAGAUCGUCGGCUUGGUGAGCCUUUACCUCACCAACUACCUAAUCUGAUAUCGGCCGCUCCAAUCGCGCGAGGUCUUGCGAUCCCCCGCUUUUCACCCUCAGGUCGUAUGCGGUAUUAGCUGCUCUUUCGAGCAGUUAUCCCCCAGACUGGGCACGUUCCGAUACAUUACUCACCCGUUCGCCACUCGUCAGCUUAACCUGUUACCGUUCGACUUGCAUGUGUAAGGCAUGCCGCCAGCGUUCAAUCUGAGCAGGACAAACUCU
rnacentral:rRNA from 1 species